UACAGAGGGUGCGAGCGUUAAUCGGAAUUACUGGGCGUAAAGCGCGCGCAGGCGGUCUUCCAAGUCAGUGGUGAAAGCCCGGAGCUCAACUCCGGAACUGCCAUUGAAACUGUUAGACUUGAGGAUGAGAGAGGUGAGUGGAAUUCCCAGUGUAGAGGUGAAAUUCGUAGAUAUUGGGAAGAACACCAGUGGCGAAGGCGGCUCACUGGCUCAUUACUGACGCUCAGGCGCGAGAGCGUGGGGAUCAAACAGG
rnacentral:rRNA from 1 species